rnacentral:lncRNA from 1 species
UGUUGACUUCUCAGGAUGCGCGUGAUGUCUGUGCAAUCCUCCGCGCCUGGCUCCUGAGAAGCAGCCCUCCACUUCUCCAGCACUGGGAGGGAGAUGUCGGGGCAGGCAGGCGGUUGGAGCCGGUGUGCUUGGUGGCCUUGGCCCGGCCCCCGUGUCCUCCCUGCCCCAGGCUGAAGCUCACCUUUCGUGAACAGCGCUGUGUGCAGCCUCAGGCUGGCCCCACCCAGAACAGCUGGCACCUCCCUGCCCCCAGGUCCAGGGGGGCACCCUGGGACCUCCCUGUUCUCCCGACUCUACAGGGGUAGCCUCAGACCUCCCUGCCCUCCUGCCCUCUAGGGAGCAAAAUAUGGCACCCAGACCCCAUCCUGCACCCAUGGCAGACAUCACUCAUCGAUCAAAGCUCUGCCCGAGCCAAUCUCAGCCUGCAGACAGGCAGCUGCUGCUGCCUAUCAAUUCCAAUUGCUACUCAAAGAGAACCUGCCCUUCAUCUAGACUCUAGUCCGGAUGAUGGUUGGAUGGAUGGAUGGAUGGAUGGAUGGAUGGAUGGAUGGACAGAUGUUUGGAUGGAUCGAUGGAUGAAUGGAUGCAUGGAUGGAUGGAUAAGUGGGAUGGAUGGAUGGAUGGAUGGACGGACGGAUGGAUGGAUGGAUGGAUGCCUGGAUGGAUGGAUGCAUGGACACAUGGGUGGGUG